rnacentral:rRNA from 1 species
UCUACGGGGCGCAGCAGUGAGGAAUAUUGGUCAAUGGCCGGAAGGCUGAACCAGCCAAGCCGCGUGAAGGACGAAGGUGCCAAGCAUUGUAAACUUCUUUUGUCAAGGGACAAAAUCAGGCUCGAGAGCCUGACCGAGGGUACUUGAAGAAAAAGCAUCGGCUAACUCCGUGCCAGCAGCCGCGGUAAUACGGAGGAUGCGAGCGUUAUCCGGAUUUACUGGGUGUAAAGGGCGUGCAGCCGGGAAGACAAGUCAGAUGUGAAAUCCCGCGGCUCAACCGCGGAACUGCAUUUGAAACUGUUUUU